rnacentral:rRNA from 2 species
GCAGGUCGAGCGGACUUAUGGGAGCUUGCUCCCAUAAGUUAGCGGCGGACGGGUGAGUAACACGUGGGCAACCUGCCUGUAAGACUGGGAUAACUUCGGGAAACCGGAGCUAAUACCGGAUAACUCUUUCCCUCACAUGAGGGAAAGCUGAAAGAUGGUUUCGGCUAUCACUUACAGAUGGGCCCGCGGCGCAUUAGCUAGUUGGUGAGGUAACGGCUCACCAAGGCAACGAUGCGUAGCCGACCUGAGAGGGUGAUCGGCCACACUGGGACUGAGACACGGCCCAGACUCCUACGGGAGGCAGCAGUAGGGAAUCUUCCGCAAUGGACGAAAGUCUGACGGAGCAACGCCGCGUGAGUGAUGAAGGUUUUCGGAUCGUAAAACUCUGUUGUCAGGGAAGAACAAGUAUCGGAGUAACUGCCGGUACCUUGACGGUACCUGACCAGAAAGCCACGGCUAACUACGUGCCAGCAGCCGCGGUAAUACGUAGGUGGCAAGCGUUGUCCGGAAUUAUUGGGCGUAAAGCGCGCGCAGGCGGUUUCUUAAGUCUGAUGUGAAAGCCCACGGCUCAACCGUGGAGGGUCAUUGGAAACUGGGAAACUUGAGUGCAGAAGAGGAGAGUGGAAUUCCACGUGUAGCGGUGAAAUGCGUAGAGAUGUGGAGGAACACCAGUGGCGAAGGCGACUCUCUGGUCUGUAACUGACGCUGAGGCGCGAAAGCGUGGGUAGCGAACAGGAUUAGAUACCCUGGUAGUCCACGCCGUAAACGAUGAGUGCUAAGUGUUAGAGGGUUUCCGCCCUUUAGUGCUGCAGCAAACGCAUUAAGCACUCCGCCUGGGGAGUACGGCCGCAA